rnacentral:lncRNA from 1 species
GAGUGUAAGCUGCUAUAUGAAAGGAUCCACAAGAUGAAUAAUUAAAGGGGACCUCUGAUCAACAGCCAGCAAGGAACUGAAUCCCUCAGACCCACAACUCACAAGAAACUGAAGUUGAAGCAGAUUCUACCUCAGUCAAGCUUCAGGUGCCCAGCUGGAUUGGUAGAGGAGACCAACCACACCCUCUGCAGCACAGCACCUGGAGAGGAACUGCUGCCAUGACCAUAGAGGACACCCUCUGGAUACAAUGCCAGACUUGAUGUGGGACUGACCAACCUAUGGACCCCAGGCACCACCACCCAGACCUGCUCAGCACCUGAAAGGGACCUCUGACCCAAGAGUUUGGUCAAUGCAUAUGUUGGCAGCCAACUGCACAUAGCACCAAAUACGAACUUCAAAUAGAAGAAAGCCGCAUUUGGAAGAAAGCUCAUGCACAGACUGUAAAUAUUUCAGAGCAGAUUGUGUCUCUGUAGAUUAACUGGAUACAGUGGCUUGCACCUGUGGUCUCAGCGACUUGGGCGACUGAAGCAAGAGGAUCACUUGAGCCUAGGAGU